rnacentral:lncRNA from 1 species
AUAUGAGGUAAGAUUCCUUGUGUAAGUAUAAACGAUAUGAGGAAUCACUUACAAAGUAGUAGACCGAAAGGUGAUGGCAGGGUUUUCCCUAGGAAAAGAAAAAGAUGCCAGUAGCACACUAGGGUUUUUUCACCCAACCAUUGUCCAAGGCCCACUACGUAAGAACGAUAAGGCAUAGAUCAUUCUAGGAAACAUUGAGUCGAUCAGUCCCCAAAGAUUGUUGAAGGCCUAAACGAUCGUAAGAUCAUUUGGCUGGAUCAAUGCGGAGGGUGUGAGGUAGAUCGCAUGUAAUCACACCUCUUUUUUUGCUUUGAUAUCUAUAUAUUGCAGGAUGAUUUUAACUCAAAAAAAAGGAAUUGAAGCAUGAAGAAGGGAGGAGGAAAGAAGAAAGGAGAGAAAAAAAGAGUUUUAUAUUUAUAGAUAUCAAUGUUGAUUGAUCAUAAAACAUUGUAUUAUUAUUUUUAUUAGUUAAUUUGUCUGCGUAGUUAACAAAAGUGAAUUCGUCAACAAAAGUGAGAAGUGGAUGAAAAUCGAUCCUCUGUAUUUAGGAUUACCACCUCAUCAAUAGAUUAAGACCAAAUUCGAUUUCAAUGUUACAACCUCAAACCUCGAACCAGUAACCUUUAAUAGUUAAUGAUGAAAGUGUUUUUGAAAUACUUUCAAUAGGUCUGUCAAUAGAUAUCCGAAAUUCGUGUUCGAAUUCAAAAUCGAAUUUAUUUAGGUUUAAUGAAAUUCAAAUACUUAAAAUACUAUCUAAAGUUAAAUGAAUUCAAAUACUCCUAAACGCAUUCGCAUAAUUAUCCAAAUUUGAAUAAGUAUAUAAAUAUAUAAUAAUUUUUACAUUUUCUAAUAUAAUGUAAUAUAUAUUGUGCUGGAUUUAUAUGUUUAAAGUAUUACAGAAGUUUUUAUUAAAAAAUAAGUAACAUAUUAUUUUUAGUAAAUGUUAUUCGAACCGAAUCCGG